rnacentral:rRNA from 1 species
UAGUCCACGCCGUAAACGAUGAGUACUAGUUGGUACGGGUAUUGACUCCUGUGCUGACGUCGCUAACGCAUUAAGUACUCCGCCUGGGAAGUACGGCCGCAAGGCUAAAACUCAAAGGAAUUGACGGGGACCCGCACAAGCGGUGGAGCAUGUGGUUUAAUUCGAAGCAACGCGCAGAACCUUACCUACACUUGACAUUGAAGGAAUCUGGCAGAGAUGCCGGAGUGCUCUUCGGAGCCCUGAAAACAGGUGCUGCAUGGCUGUCGUCAGCUCGUGUCGUGAGAUGCUGGGUUAAAGUCCCGCAACGAGCGCAACCCUUGCCUUUAGUUGCUACCAAGUUAUGUUGGGCACUCUAGAGGGACUGCCGGUGUCAAACCGGAGGAAGGUAAGGAUGACGUCAAGUCAGCAUGCCCCUUACGCUCUGGGCUACACACGUGCUACAAUGGUCGUGACAAAGAGUUGCUAGUCUGCGAAGGCAGGCCAAUCUCAUAAACG